UACGAAGGGGGCUAGCGUUGUUCGGAAUUACUGGGCGUAAAGCGCACGUAGGCGGACUUUCAAGUCAGGGGUGAAAUCCCGGGGCUCAACCUCGGAACUGCCUUUGGUACUGUUAGUCUUGAGCUCGGAAGAGGUGGGUGGAAUUCCUAGUGUAGAGGUGAAAUUCAUAGAUAUUAGGAAGAACACCGGUGGCGAAGGCGGCCCACUGGUCCGAUGCUGACGCUGAGGUGCGAAAGCGUGGGGAGCAAACAGG
rnacentral:rRNA from 1 species